rnacentral:siRNA from 1 species
UAUAUGCCUUCAAAUCUCGAGA